CCUACGGGAGGCAGCAGUGGGGAAUAUUGGACAAUGGGCGAAAGCCUGAUCCAGCCAUGCCGCGUGUGUGAAGAAGGCCUUCGGGUUGUAAAGCACUUUCAGUGGGGAAGAAAGCCUUGGGGCUAAUACCCUCGAGGAAGGACAUCACCCACAGAAGAAGCACCGGCUAACUCCGUGCCAGCAGCCGCGGGAAUACGGAGGGUGCGAGCGUUAAUCGGAAUUACUGGGCGUAAAGCGCGCGUAGGCGGUCUGAUAAGCCGGUUGUGAAAGCCCCGGGCUCAACCUGGGAACGGCAUCCGGAACUGUCAGGCUAGAGUGCAGGAGAGGAAGGUAGAAUUCCCGGUGUAGCGGUGAAAUGCGUAGAGAUCGGGAGGAAUACCAGUGGCGAAGGCGGCCUUCUGGACUGACACUGACGCUGAGGUGCGAAAGCGUGGGUAGCAAACAGGAUUAGAUACCCCGGUAGUC
rnacentral:rRNA from 1 species